AGUGAACGCUGGCGGCAGGCCUAACACAUGCAAGUCGAGCGGCAGCGCGGGGGCAACCCUGGCGGCUAGCGGCGGACGGGUGAGGAAUUCGUCGGAAUCUGCCUUUUUUUGGUGUAUGACGUAUGCAAACUUACGCUACUACCGCAUACUUCCUACUGCAGCAAGUUGGGGACCGCAAGGCCUCACGCACAAAUAUGAUCCGACGACCGAUUAGCUAGUUUGUGGGGUAAAGGCUCACCAAGGCGACGAUCGGUAGCUGGACUGAGAGGAUGAUCAGCCACACUGGGACUGGGACACGGCCAAGACUCCUAAGGGAGGCAGCAGAGGGGAAUAGUGGACAAUGGGCGCAAGCCUGAUACAGCGAUGCCGAGUGUGUGGAGAAGGCCCUCGGGUUGUAAAGAACGUUUGUCCGGAAAGAAAUGCCUGGAGCUAAGACCUACGGGGGAUGACGGUAACGGAAGAAUAAGCACCGGCUAACUACGUG
rnacentral:rRNA from 1 species